UACAGGGGGGGCAAGCGUUGUUCGGAAUUACUGGGCGUAAAGGGUUUGUAGGUGGCUUGCUAAGUCAGACGUGAAAUCCCUCAGCUUAACUGGGGAACUGCGUCUGAUACUGGCGAGCUUGAGUGCAGGAGAGGAACGCGGAAUUCCAGGUGUAGCGGUGAAAUGCGUAGAUAUCUGGAGGAACACCGGUGGCGAAGGCGGCCAACUGGACAGAUACUGACGCUGAGACACGAAAGCGUGGGGAGCAAACAGG
rnacentral:rRNA from 1 species